UACAGAGGUCUCGAGCGUUGUUCGGAUUCAUUGGGCGUAAAGGGUGCGUAGGCGGCGCGGUAAGUCGGGUGUGAAAUCUCGGAGCUUAACUCCGAAACUGCAUUCGAUACUGCCGUGUUUGAGGACUGGAGAGGAGACUGGAAUUUACGGUGUAGCGGUGAAAUGCGUAGAUAUCGUGAAGGAAGACCAGUGGCGAAGGCGGGUC
rnacentral:rRNA from 1 species